rnacentral:rRNA from 1 species
GCGAGGUUAACCGUAUAGGGGAGCCGUAGCGAAAGCGAGUCUUAACUGGGCGUUAAGUUGCAGGGUAUAGACCCGAAACCCGGUGAUCUAGCCAUGGGCAGGUUGAAGGUUGAGUAACAUCAACUGGAGGACCGAACCCACUAACGUUGAAAAGUUAGGGGAUGACUUGUGGCUGGGGGUGAAAGGCCAAUCAAACCGGGAGAUAGCUGGUUCUCCCCGAAAUCUAUUUAGGUAGAGCCUCGGACGAAUUCCAUUGGGGGUAGAGCACUGUUAAGGCUAGGGGGUCAUCCCGACUUACCAACCCUUUGCAAACUCCGAAUACCAAAGAGAACUAUCCGGGAGACACACGGCGGGUGCUAACGUCCGUCGUGAAAAGGG